ensembl:ncRNA T01E8.10 ncRNA
AUUUGUAAAUGAACAAAAUCAAGAAGGGAGAAAUGUUGCGGAAUUUGAGAAAUAUAGAGAAAGAGAAGGAGAUAUAGAGAAAAGUCAUAAACCAUUCGGAAGAGGGAGCGUGGCGAUUUACAGUACCCCUCACUUCUACAGCACGCCUUCUUUUUCUAGAUUAGAAUCUUAUUCGUAGAAAUUUAAUUGCCUUAAACCCUAAAAACCCACUUUUUGUGUCGUUUCGCCAAAAAAAAUUAUAUCCCAAUGGUUCCCAUCACUAUCAACCACAAAAGACGUGCCGAGUUAUCAGUGUGGGAAUCAUUUGAUAAGUGUGCAUGGGAAAAAAGCACUUGAGUCAUGACACAGUUUCCCACAACUCUUGACCAUAUUGGUUUGAUAACCCCUGGUGAGAGGCGACACUGUGAAGAGCCGGGCGGAUGCUCAGGCGGUACUAAUCCUUUAAUGGAGAGCUAGGGGUCCGACAAGGUGAGAAAAGGAAGUGAAACGGCAGACCGGAAGAACAUGAAAGAAGUUGGUAAACAAGAGGGAUCUACAGGCAGUAAAAUGCAUGGGGAGGUGUUAGAGUUUCAGAUGUACUGUACUUGAGGUGAAAAUUUGGAAGACUGAUAGUGAGGUGAGACAUAGAGAAUUCGGGGGAAGAAUGUUAAAAUGAAGUGAGAAUUGGUUAAUUUAAGGAAAACUAGAAAUUGGAAGCGCUACAGUAGCAAUACUAUUUCUGGUGAGGUAGAACUAUGUUGCUACUGUAGCUGAAACUCUUAACCAUAGCUAUAGACUACUGUAGAUUUGCUACUGUAAGACUCUAAAGAAUUUAGGGCAAAAAAUAAUUAGGAAUGUAUACUAAAUACACUUCUCAAAAUCUCAAAACAGCUAAAGUAAAUACUGGAACUAAAAAACAAACAAAAAAAUGAGAAGAAGAUGUAUGAAUGAAAGUAAAUUCUGAUAGC